rnacentral:misc_RNA from 1 species
AAAGGAAGCACACUGUGCCACAACAAAGGAAGCACAAGGUUGCUAGGAGACGGUGUGUGCAGCAUUCGCAGCUUGACACCUCCUUCCUUGUCUACUGAAGGAGCAACUCUUGUCAGAAAAGCCUUAUGCUGUAUGGUGACAUUGGUGCAUAUGGAGAAUGUUUUGGCCAUGUGUUACUGUCUGUGUACUCGUGUGUGAAAAGUUGUCAAAAAGACUUGUCUUGUGAGGAAACUCGGAGUACUCUCAUAGUGUCUGUAUUGAUUGCACGAGACAAUUGUGACUUUUGAACAGUUUGAUGGACAUAACAUUGGUCUACAGAAUCAGUGUUUUUAAUUGUUGUAUAUUGUGUAUACUUCUAAAUAUUCAAAUCUGUCAUAUUGACAGCUAUGUUGUAUACAACAUAUUAUGUAUAUUAUAUAUACAGUUAUGUAAAUAGGUAGAUACCAUAUGUCAUAUUGACAAUUAUUGUACAUUAUAGUGUUAAAAAAAAGUCUAGGCCAGCCUUUAGUAGAAAUUGGGUAGUUAUCAUACAGAGAGUUAAAUCAUGAAUAAAUGCUGUAAAUAUACAUUUAUAGCAGUAGUUAGGUCUUUAUGAGGUUUACCCCUCACAUAUAUCCGAAAUCUUGCACAAAAACAUUUUUGUACAUACAGUUUUGUACAACAUUGAGAUUCAUAAGAUGAUGUUUUUGGGGUUUUUUUUUAUUGUUUUUCGUUGGGUUCUUUUUUUUGGGGGGGGGGGGGGGGGGGGGGGCUGAUGGAUCCUGUUGGUUAGUUUUAUAAUGAUACUGUGUUAGUAUGUUUAAUAAAGAGAGAGACUAUACCCCUAUUUGGCUAGUUUUAUACUGAUACUCUGGUAGAAUGUUUUGUACAUUUACAGGUAUUCUGUUGUGUUGGUGUAUAUUAGACAAUGUUGUCCAUUGAAUAACACAACUUUUCUUAUUUUGGAUUUUUUAUGGCCCUUUGUUUAUCAAACUCACAUUUUGAAUAUACAGGUAUAUACCGGUAUAUUAAAUACUUAUUGGAAAUGGGGCUGUAAACCAACCUUUUUUUUGCAAUGACUUUAUUUCUAAUUUUUGUUUGAUAUUAUAUGUACAAUGUAUAUCAAUCAAAAUGUUGAAUUUAGUAGGAGAGGUUAAAAAAUUAAAAUGUAUUUAGUAGGAGGGGUUAAAAAAUAAAAAUGUAUUAGAUGUCAUUUCAGCCUGAAAUUUUUAUUUUGAUAUUAGAUAUUGGUAAUAUAUGAAAUCUACUCCAUUGGCUGGCCAAAUUAAGGCUUAUUUGUUCAGUUGCAUGCAUUUUUUUUUUUGGUGCAUGAAUGAUUUUCAUUAAAUGCGAAUUU